UACGGGGGGGGCAAGCGUUGUUCGGAAUUACUGGGCGUAAAGGGCUCGUAGGUGGCCAACUAAGUCGGACGUGAAAUCCCUCGGCUUAACCGGGGAACUGCGUCCGAUACUGGAUGGCUUGAGUUUGGGAGAGGGACGCGGAAUUCCAGGUGUAGCGGUGAAAUGCGUAGAUAUCUGGAGGAACACCGGUGGCGAAGGCGGCGUCCUGGACCAACACUGACACUGAAGAGCGAAAGCCAGGGGAGCAAACGGG
rnacentral:rRNA from 1 species